AGUGCGAAAUGGAAAAGCAUUUAAUCAAUUCAAUGCCGGAUAUCUGACUGUUGAAUCGCAAUGUCUUCAGCCUUUUUGAGGAAAGGUAAAAGCUUUCCAUAUUCUUCAUAAGUUUGGGCGGAUGGUUUAUUCAUGAUUAGUUCAAUUUUCUUGGACUCAUCCCAAGAUUUGUUUACAUAUUCUUCAAAGGUAAAUCCUUUUCCAUUCAUUGCAUAUGCAGCCUUGAUAGCGCCCUAAAUUGAUGGUCAGUAACUAUUAAUUAACAACAUUUUCCGUUCACUUACGCCAACAGCACAGGCAUUACUACCGCCGUGUUUUAGCCGAUAAACAUCACAUCCCAAAACCUGGCUAAUUUUAAACACAAUAGCCUCGUUACGACUAGCUCCUCCUACAACAUAAACACGAUCAGGUUGUGGUAUACCAGUUAGCAAAGGAGUAAUCCGCAUGCGGAUAUCAAGAUUUUGACUUUCAACUAUGGCAGAAGCAUCCUCAUCUGGAUAAUCCCAUGAUUCUUCAUCUUUAUCCACCUGAUACAACUCGGUGCCUUGGAUUGCAAAUCUCCACGUACCCG